GACGAACGCUGGCGGCGUGCUUAACACAUGCAAGUCGAACGGAAAGGCCCUGCUUUUGUGGGGUGCUCGAUUGGCGAACGGGUGAGUAACACGUGAGUAACCUGCCCUUGACUUUGGGAUAACUUCAGGAAACUGGGGCUAUUACCGGAUAGGAGCUCCUGCAGCAUGGGGGGGGUUGGAAAGUUUCGGCGGUUGGGGAUGGACUCGCGGCUUAUCAGCUUGUUGGUGGGGUAGUGGCUUACCAAGGCUUUGACGGGUAGCCGGCCUGAGAGGGUGACCGGCCACAUUGGGACUGAGAUACGGCCCAGACUCCUACGGGAGGCAGCAGUGGGGAAUAUUGCACAAUGGGCGGAAGCCUGAUGCAGCAACGCCGCGUGCGGGAUGACGGCCUUCGGGUUGUAAACCGCUUUCGCAUGUGACGAAGCGUGAGUGACGGUAAUGGGUAAAGAAGCACCGGCUAACUACGUG
rnacentral:rRNA from 1 species